CGCGUAGGUGGUUUGUUAAGUUGGAUGUGAAAGCCCCGGGCUCAACCUGGGAACUGCAUCCAAAGCUGGCAAGCUAGAGUACGGUAGAGGGUGGUGGAAUUUCCUGUGUAGCGGUGAAAUGCGUAGAUAUAGGAAGGAACACCAGUGGCGAAGGCGACCACCUGGACUGAUACUGACACUGAGGUGCGAAAGCGUGGGGAGCAAACA
rnacentral:rRNA from 1 species